AUUGAACGCUGGCGGCAUGCUUUACACAUGCAAGUCGAACGGCAGCGCGGGCUUCGGCCUGGCGGCGAGUGGCGAACGGGUGAGUAAUGCAUCGGAACGUGCCCAGUAGUGGGGGAUAGCCCGGCGAAAGCCGGAUUAAUACCGCAUACGACCUGAGGGUGAAAGCGGGGGACCGAAAGGCCUCGCGCUAUUGGAGCGGCCGAUGUCGGAUUAGCUAGUUGGUGGGGUAAAGGCUUACCAAGGCGACGAUCCGUAGCUGGUCUGAGAGGACGACCAGCCACACUGGGAAUGAGACACGGCCCAGACUCCUACGGGAGGCAGCAGUGGGGAAUUUUGGACAAUGGGGGCAACCCUGAUCCAGCCAUGCCGCGUGCGGGAAGAAGGCCUUCGGGUUGUAAACCGCUUUUGUUCGGGAAGAAAUCCUCUGGGCUAAUACCCCGGGGGGAUGACGGUACCGGAAGAAUAAGCACCGGCUAACUACGUG
rnacentral:rRNA from 1 species